GACAGAGGUGCCAAGCGUUAGGCGGAAUCACUGGGCUUAAAGCGUGUGUAGGUGGAUGCCUAAGUACCUUGUGAAAUCCCACGGCUCAACCGUGGAACUGCUCGGUAUACUGGGUGUCUUGAGCCACUUAGGGGCUACCGGAACAAAUGGUGGAGCGGUGAAAUGCGUAGAUAUCGCUUGGAACGCCGACGGUGAAAACAGCUCGCUGGGGAUUCGCUGACGCUGAGACACGAAAGCCAGGGGAGCAAACGGG
rnacentral:rRNA from 1 species